UACGGAGGGUGCAAGCGUUAUCCGGAAUCACUGGGUUUAAAGGGUGCGCAGGCGGACCGGUAAGUCAGUGGUGAAAGGUCCGAGCUCAACUCGGAAAUUGCCAUUGAUACUGUCGGUCUUGAGUGCAGUUGAGGCAAGCGGAAUGCGUCAUGUAGCGGUGAAAUGCAUAGAUAUGACGCAGAACACCGAUUGCGAAGGCAGCUUGCUAAACUGUAACUGACGCUGAGGCACGAAAGCGUGGGGAGCGAACAGG
rnacentral:misc_RNA from 1 species